AUUGAACGCUAGCGGGAUGCUUUACACAUGCAAGUCGAACGGCAGCGCGGACUUCGGUCUGGCGGCGAGUGGCGAACGGGUGAGUAAUGUAUCGGAACGUGCCCAGUAGCGGGGGAUAACUACGCGAAAGCGUAGCUAAUACCGCAUACGCCCUACGGGGGAAAGCAGGGGAUCGUAAGACCUUGCACUAUUGGAGCGGCCGAUAUCGGAUUAGAUAGUUGGUGAGGUAACGGCUCACCAAGGCGACGAUCCGUAGCUGGUUUGAGAGGACGACCAGCCACACUGGGACUGAGACACGGCCCAGACUCCUACGGGAGGCAGCAGUGGGGAAUUUUGGACAAAGGAGGCAACCCUGAUCCAGCCAUCCCGCGUGUGCGAUGAAGGCCUUCGGGUUGUAAAGCACUUUUGGCAGGAAAGAAACGUCGCGGGCUAAUACCCCGUGGAACUGACGGUACCUGCAGAAUAAGCACCGGCUAACUACGUG
rnacentral:rRNA from 1 species